UUUUUUAAAAACAUUAAAUCCAAAAUAGCAAACAAAAAAGUUUUUCUCCAAUUCCCAAACCAAUCGGGAAAGCCCCCAAAACCCUUUCCCCUUGCAAGCGAAAAAUUUCCUGCGAUCUCUUCAUAUUCUCCCUCUCCCUUCACUUUCUUCUUUCCCUUUCCUCGUUGAAUUCAUAACUUACAAAAUCCAAAUUCAACAUCAUAUAUGUAUCUAUAUUUUUAAUUGAAUUAGUUUUUGUAUUUUGGAAAUUUCUCUCAAUUCCUUUCCCUAUCCAUGCAUAGUCAAUUUCCCGAAAAAAUUCAGAAAUAUCUACUUCAAUGGGUGCCUUAACAUGUACUAACCGUAAACGCGGUGACGAUUUUUUCACCUCAAAUUACAAAACCCCACUUUCAGUUUCCUCCAAUUUUGAUCACAUAUCCAAAAAACCUAGGCUUAUGAAUCAAAUCCAUGAUCACCCUAUUCCCAGAAAAUCAACAGUUACAAGAAUUUUCAAAUACCCAUCCACCAUAACUCCUAUAAAAAGAGAAAUUCAUGCUCCUUGUAGACGAUCAAAAAUUGGUUUCUAUUCAAAUUUUGACAAAAUGGGGAAUUUUCUAGCGCAACAGUAUGAUAGAGCUAAAAGAAGUGCAUAUGAAACGCUGAGGUAUGUGAAAAAAGAUAAAGAAGUGAUAAAAAUUGAUGAUGAUGACGACGAAAAAAAUUGUGGAAAGGAAUUGGAAUUGGAAAAUGUUUUUUUUGCGAAAAGGGGUCGUGCUAGCGGGUCAGGUCAGAAAAGGGAGGAGAGUAAUGGGGUUGUUGAAAUCAUGGAUAAUUCUGAUAGGAACUUUCAGGUUUCGAGUUUUUCGGCUGUAACAACAGUGUUAAAUGAUGGGAAUUUGAAGGCGGAGAACACAGAAAAGAUGCUGGAUUCGUUAUCUUUGAGUGGCAAGUUUGAUGAUGAUUCUUCGUCCUCCGUACCAUCGUAUAAGAAAUUGUUGGAUUCAGCUGAGAAAAGAAAUGAUAAUUUAAAGAGACUCCAGUUUCAGAUAGAGUAUACUGAGAAGCUUCGCGAGACACAACAUUUGUUGAGGUCCCAGCAGAAAGAAGAAUAUGUUAAGGAGGAUGUGAUCAUAGAACCCUUUGUGCGCCUUGCCGAGGAGGAAGAGGCUGAAGUUUCUCGCGCUUUAUCUAAUUCUAACCGGAGGAAGGUUUUGGUAACCCAUGAAAAUUCCAAUAUAGAUAUAACUGGAGAGAAAUUGCAGUGUUUGAGACCUGGGGCAUGGUUGAAUGAUGAGGUCAUUAAUGUGUAUCUUGAGUUACUCAAAGAGAGAGAAAAAAGGGAGCCCGAAAAGUUCUUGAAAUGUCAUUUCUUUAACACAUUCUUUUACAAGAAGGGAAUCUAUAGGGGAUAUAUUGUUCCAGCUGCAUAUUACAAAAAACGUCUAGCCUUAAUAGGCUGGUAUGGGGUUGAUAAACCAUCAAAGCAUCUUCUGUUCCUUUCCGCCCUUAAAUUCCUGCAAAUGCAAGGUGGAAUCAUCCGCCAUAUGCUUCUGAUGGAUUUUUACCAGCUACUCCAACAUUCAAAAGCCUCUUUGGUGGUCUGUGGCAUGGCUCAACUGAGUCCAAAAAAUGGAUUGAAACAUACUCCACAUAUCAGUGCAACUGUACAUGAAUUAAAAUAAGAUUUUUGGUUUCUAUGGCCUUAUAUCACAUAAAACAUUUAUCACAAUCUGGAUGCUCCUUUUGCUGAGGAUGUCCUGAGUUAGUGAGGCUUCAUGCAGCGCAGUCCAGCUAAAACAUAUGAUAUUUGGAAGCAGUUUUAUCCUUCAUAUUAACUUCCAAGGCCAGUAGUCCCAUUUUGUUUUGUGCCCGAAAUGAAGCAUAUCCAUCUUUGACAGAAUCGCUUCCCAUUAUUACUCCAUGUUAGCAUGCUUCUCUCUAGACUGGAAGAGUAGAGAGAAGUUGAGGAGAGAGAAAGUUGAGGAGUUCAUCAUAUUCCAGUCAUGUAUGUUUCUCUUGAAAAGAGGGUUCCUGGUGUUCCCGUCACUGUUUUUGGGAUGGAAGAGUAAGGAUCCCUAGAGAUCUGAAACAGGUCAAACCCAUAUGGAGCUCUGGAUAACUUAAUACACCAGGGAUUUUGGACACCAUGUUUAGCAUUUAAGACCUACUUCCAAAGAGCUGCUCUUCCUGCUGUACCUCCAUAGCUACUUCAUUAGGACCUUGCCUGGCAUAGAACAUAGGGACAUGUAAUAUGUAGGGAUGCUGCCCAGGACAUUGUUGACUAGUUUAAUCAGUGGCAAGGGAGGCUAUAACUAUCAACCUGUGAAAAGAUGGACAUCCCAAAGGAAGUUGGGGUACAGCCUCUUUGAAUGUGAUAAAAUUUUUGUCCCUAUCCACAAACAAGUACAUUGGUGUUUAGCUGUCAUCAACAAGAAGGAUGAAAAGUUCCAAUAUCUUGAUUCACUUGGAGGAAGA